GGCUGGUCAAAGUACAGUGGUGUUUAUAACUAAUUGAUCACAACCACUUAUGGAUUUCUUUGUUUCUUCUCCACUCCCAAUGCCUCACUUGACUAGCCUUUU
ensembl:misc_RNA Y_RNA Y RNA